CGCGUGUUCUCACUCAUAAGUGGGAGGGGCUUCAGGCUGAAAAUGUAAUUUCUUUCCACGUAUUUAUCUUCACACCAUAACCCUUUGGAUGUGGAAGUUAUUAAAAAGGAAUUUUACAUGAGUGAUGAUCAAGAACUGAUUGAUCCUUAGGGGCUUCGGGGUGAAAAUGCGAUUUCUUUCCAUGUAUUUAUCUUCGCACAUAACACUUUGGAUGUGGAAGUUAUUAAAAAGGAAUUUUACAUGAGAAAGCAUGCUUGAUGAAGAACAUCUAUGAAUUCUAGCACUUCCAUAGGAAAGUAAACUGUUACUCAAGUACUGUUCGCAUGUGAAGUACCAUUGGCAGAGAGAACAUGGGAGAGAAGAGGCAAAUCCUUACUCCCUUAGGCUGGAGAAGUGGUGGUGUGAACAGCCAGAAAUACCCAAUCAGGCAGACAUUUAUCCCUGCGGGCUAUUUGUUGGGUGCACAUGGGUUGAAGACUCAGGUUCAGACAGGAUAGAAUCCUUGUUUCCCUUAGGUCUUUGAUGCCUGAUAUGCUCAAGAUGCUCUGUGUUUCACUUCUUCCCAUAUGUGAACUUCAAGAUCUAGGCUUGAAAUUAUAAAAGGUGGUAAGAGGUCUCUGUGUUCGCUACCAAUCCCAAGAUAUACCCUACAAUUCAACUUUGCAAAGGAAUAAAAUGGGUAACAAAUUUUAACUCA
ensembl:lncRNA novel transcript